rnacentral:rRNA from 1 species
CCAGCAGCCGCGGUAAUUCCAGCUCCAAUAGCGUAUAUUAAAGUUGUUUCAGUUAAAAAGCUCGUAGUUGAACUUCUGGCGGGGGGCAAGUUCGGCUUUGGUCGGCUUGAACUCCGUCAUCCGAUUGCAAACUAUAUUCGUUAUUCAGUUAACGGUAUAGGGAGCAAUCAUUUUACUUUGAAAAAAUUAGAGUGUUUCAGGCAGGCAAUCGCCCGAAUACAUUAGCAUGGAAUAAUGGAAGAGGACUUUUGUUCAUUUGGUUGGCUAUUGAACAAGAGUAAUGAUUAAUAGGGACAGUUGGGGGCAUUAGUAUUUAAUUGUCAGAGGUGAAAUUCUUGGAUUUA